GGAUGAUGAUAAAUUUCUGUAUUCAUCAUUUUCUACUUUGAGCUUAGUGGAUAAUGCCAUACAUCGAACUUAAGCAUACUGUCACCACACAUGCUUUUCUCUGCUUGUAUUGAGGAUAUAGAGAAAUUGGAUUCAUUAUUCUUCCUAAGGCCACUGAUAGAGAACAUAGACUGUGAUUAAGACCCUUUAUAGGUCCUGUCAAUAUGCUGGAAUUACUCACAGGAGUCACACGAUCCAGGCAAAGGGUGAGAAUAUAUUUGAGGUGAGGUUUCUGGAAAGGGGAAUGUGACAUGGUAUUGAAGCCAGUGUGUUUAGAUUAAUCAAAUGAGAAAUAUGUAAUAUUUA
rnacentral:lncRNA from 1 species